GGGCUCGCGGCCCAUUAGCUUGUUGGUGAGGUAACGGCUCACCAAGGCUGUGAUGGGUAGCCGACCUGAGAGGGUGAUCGGCCACACUGGGACUGAGACACGGCCCAGACUCCUACGGGAGGCAGCAGUGAGGAAUUUUCCGCAAUGGGCGAAAGCCUGACGGAGCGACGCCGCGUGCGUGAUGAAGGCCCUCGGGUCGUAAAGCGCUGUCGGAGGGGAAGCUGACGGUACCCUCCAGGAAGCCCCGGCUAACUCCGUGCCAGCAGCCGCGGUAAUACGGGGGGGGCUAGCGUUGCUCGGAAUUAUUGGGCGUAAAGGGCGCGUAGGCGGCCCGCUAAGUUGGUUGUGAAAUCCCUCGGCUCAACCGAGGAACUGCGACCAAUACUGGCGGGCUUGAGUGCAGGAGGGGAGAGCGGAAUUCCCAGUGUAGCGGUGAAAUGCGUAGAU
rnacentral:rRNA from 1 species